rnacentral:lncRNA from 12 species
CCCCUCCAGGCCCCGCCCCCCGGACUUCCGAACUCGCGACGCCCGCCCCUCAGCACGCCCGGGGGCCGCGCGGGGUCACGUGGCGGAAGUGCGGCCUCCCGCCCGCCGCGGCCGCUCGCUCCCAAACCGGAAGUUUAUGUGGUUGCCUGGGAGACCGGACGGGGCGCCCCGGGCGGCCCCGUGACACGCGCGGCGGAGCCCACGGAGGCCGGGCGAGCGGGCGCCCCGCGGCGGAGGGAGCGGCAGCUGCAGCCCGAGGCGCGGGGACGGUGAGUCAGUUAACAUAUAGCGUGGAACCGGCUUCUGGGCUUUUUCUGAGAGAAAUCGGUAGCGGCGGGAAGAUCCUGAGCAGAGGACUGACUGCACCUGACAGAUCCCAGGAGCAAGGGUGGGGGACAGAUCAAAGAGGAACAGAUCUGGUUUCUAUAUCCUCAGCUAAAGAUGAAGAAAGAACAGAAGCUGAAAGGAAAAGAAGGGAGAUAAGAGAUAAGUUUCUGUCCUUCCAGAGAAGUUCGAAACAGAUGGAUCCUGGAGGUGUUUUAGAAAGAGACCGCAUUCUUCCCAGGUGAACAAGCUACAUUUGAGGAGGCUCCAAUACACAUUUAUGCUUAAGAUUUAAAUAUACUUCGCAUAUUACUAACUUUCAAAGACAAAUAAGAAACAUGUACUAAAGUAUAAUUUCAGGAUGAGGAAAGUGUUCCUAUUUUUUAUAGAUGAGUUUAGGUCAUGGUAUGACUUUGGUUUUAAUUUUAGGUCUUUGAAACUUGAAUAGCUUACAUACAAGUGUCUUCAUAUAAAUGGAAAAAAUACUGGGAAUAUUCAUGGAGAGCAUGCUUGGAUAAAUACCAAUGAGUGCAAAUUUUUGCCAGAAAGCUUUGGAAAUACAGAAGUUGUUUCUUUUUAUAAGUGCUUUUAACCUUUCAAGACCUAUUAAACCAAUUUGAGCAGUUGUUUCUGUCAGAAAUAUUUUCUGCACGAAUAGAAAGAUACCCCCCCACCACCACCACUUGUACCUGAAACCGCAACUUGAUACCAUGCUCCCUAAGCCUCUGUUGAAAUGUCAAGUCCUACUGCUAACAAAUCCCAAAGUCAGAAAAAUUCUACGUUAAAAUUGCCAGAAUCUUUCAUUCAUUCUAUUUAUUGUUACACUUUAAACAAGUUCAGAAAUUUGGGAGGUUUCUGGCUACUUGAGUAAAACACACUGCAAACCGAAAGAGAACAAACGUUAAGUGGAAGAAACGCCUGACUUCUGAGUUGCUCUGCCCUCCUGCACAGUAGCCUUUCCACAUCACUGAAUCUGAACACAGCGUUACCAUCUGCUCCAAGCAGUUCCCCUGACACUGGAGCAAGUCAGAAUAAGUUAAUCUCAUGUCUUAUUUAACAGCAGGCAAGCAACUUUAACAGAGACUUGAGGCUUAGGCAGAUCUCACAUGGUCUAGAAUCCAGGCUUAGAUUUUGUAAAAAGUUUUCAAACAGAAGAAAUUAGAGACACCAGGAUUUAAAACCUCAUAGGAGACAACAAACAGUAUUUCCAGUCCUAACCAAAUUGCAACCCUUUCAUUAUAGCUU